AGUGCAAUUGUCAUCUAGGUGAGGAGCUAGAUUUCUGGUAGUUCCAUUUCUGCCAUCUUCCUAGAAUCCUCACCUGUGGUUGUUUUUAAAGUUCUCUUUUUCCUUAAUUUCUUAGGCAUCAAUCUAAUUAUGUACUGUGGAUAACUCAAUUUUCUGUAUUUUGGGAGUGACUUGAAUGAUUUAAUAAUUUGAAUAUAACCUUAAUGGAAGUUUAUGUUAGUGAAGCUUUCAUUUAAUUUCUGAAAUAAUUGUUUUUACACAUAUAUAUAUAUCCAAUUCCAUUAAGAAGCUGACAAUCUAGAGUGGACUCCUUAAUUAACCAGAAGAUUGUUAAUUUAAUGAGUGUAAGUCCAGGAUUUUAAAAAGGAUGUGGAGUAGAAGAGACAUGAGAUGCUAUACCUAGACUGCUACCAUCCGUCCAGCGUUCAUCCUCAUCGAAGUGAGCAUCUCCUCCGAGACCUGUCCCAGGCGCAAAGGCAUGAGCCAGCGUGUUUCCUGGCCCAUCAAAUGGGAUUUUAAUCUUCAUAAGAAAAGAGCACUGAUAUAAACCAUGAACAAACAAAACAGGACACAGGAUUAGCCUACAGGAAUCUUUCUUACCUCCUCGCGCAAAGCCAAUCAUGAUGUCAGCAGUUCCCCGUACAACUUUCCUGAAAUGCAGGGGGAUCUCUUUGCCCCACAUGUUUAAAGCCUUUGACACUAAUCGAUCCACUGUAAUAUGCGAGUCUACAGAACUUUGAAAGUAUGUGUUAUUUUUCAUUAACUAAAACGAGGAAGUAUUACAUCGUUAUUGGCAGGAAGCACACAAUGUAUUUGUCUUUCAAAGGAUUUUUUUUUCUGUCUGCUGCAUAAAUUGACUCCAUGAGAAACCUCAUUUUUUUGCCAAAGUCAAAUGACUGCUCUCAUAGGUAUCAUUCAGGACGUUAUGGUACCAUAUAUUCUUAAAGAAUAAUAUAUAUUCUUAAAUAUAUAUUCUUAACAAUUAAAAGGUUUGGAAAAGUGCACAAAACAUGUAAAUAAUGAAAUAAUAAUUAAGCAAAUACUGUAACCGUCACCAAAGUCAAGAAAUAGAACAUCACCAAAAUCCUGUGGUUCUCCAUACAGGGGAAAGAUGGCAGGAGGCAGAUGGAAAUGCUGCUAUGUGGCUGGAUUAGUGGCCACCCUAUAUACAACUGUGCUGUGUCCCCUCACCUUCCACGUCCCUUAGCAGAGCAGUGAUAAUUCCCUUCUUUGGGUCUCCUUUUAAUCAGUUUAUGUCUUUUCUUAAUGGGGAACACUGCCUCUAAUUCUUCUUGAAUUAAACACGAAAAAAUACCAAGCCAAUAAAAAUCUACAAGCACGGGCUUAACUGU